UUUCCUUUUCCAUUUUCCACGGACCGAAAGCAGGUCCCAGGAUCGUUUCCUUCCGUCACCGUCGCUUCUCUUCUCACGAAAGCCAAACCCUACCGGCGGAGAGAUGGGCGAGGAAGCGAAGAUGGGCCAACAUGGCGACCCCGGCGGAAGCGGCGGCGGCGGCGGCGGAGAUGGCGAAUCGGACGGCGAGGACCGGGUCGUCGAGUGGGAGUUCGGCCUCCCGAGUUGCGACGAUCUGGCGCCGCUGUGUCAGGCGUUGAUCCCGCCCGAGCUGGCGUCCGCGUUCAGCAUCGCGCUGGAGCCUUCGAGGACCGCCGUCGACGUCAAUCGCGCGUCGCGGAGCACGCUGACUGGGUUGCGCGGCAGCGGCGCGGCUUCGCAGGGUUUUUCCACCAGCGAUAAUUUCAAGUCCUUCGUUGAUAAUCAUCAGAGCAUGGAGGUGGAGGAGGAGGAGGACGGUGCCGAUGAAUCGGAUUCGAGGAAAUCGAGGAGGAUUGAGAUGGCCGAAGAAGUGGAUUCCACUCCGAGGAUGGACAAUUCGCCGGAAGAUCCGUCGGGGAGUACGUUAAAGAGGCCACGGCUGGUUUGGACGCCUCAAUUGCACAAGAGGUUUGUCGACGUGGUUGCCCGUUUAGGGAUAAAGAAUGCGGUGCCGAAGACUAUUAUGCAGUUGAUGAAUGUUGAGGGAUUGACGAGGGAAAAUGUGGCGAGUCAUCUGCAGAAGUAUAGGCUUUACUUGAAGAGGAUGCAUGGGAUGUCAUGUGAAGGACCUUCGUCGUCUGAUCAAUUGUUUGCCUCGACAACGGUACCGCAUAGCUUGAACGAUGUUGCAGGCAAUAGUGGUCAUGGGGAUGGGCAAAUGCCGAUGCCGAUACCAAUGCCUUACGGAGCACAGCUGCCUGUGAUGCCGAUGCCGGUUUAUGCAAUGGGGCAUGGUUAUGUACACAUGAAAAUGCAAAUUGGUAAUUUAUCUGGGUUUGAGUCAAAUCAAUACGCAAUGCAACAGAGAGAUUGGUCCAGUAAUCGGUAUGGUUCGGUUGCUUCCUUUCCACAGCCCACUGCGAAUGAGAAACGACUCUAGUGGAGUUUAUUGACGAUGAAGAAAGUUCUUCUCGGAUUUCUUGCUUCUUCGAUGGGUUUAGCUCGAAGUCUCUGGUCACCUCGACAACUUCUCCAGCUGUACUGUGUCAGAGAGUUCUGCAUAAGGAUUGUCAUUCCAGACUGGUAAACCACAGAAGUCUAGACCCAAGCUUUGAGAUUUAAGCUCUUUUUGAUCACUUAAUUCCUUGGACUUGGAUUCUUGAAAACACGGAAAGACCAAAGAGAAAGAAGCUAGGGCCACUUUUUGCAGGAGACUUUCUCCUCAAUACAUGCAUUGCAUCUGCGGCUGGAUUUGGCAGUAGCCGGGAUGGGACAAACCAGUAGAGAUGGAGCAAUAAGGUUUUGACAAUUUCCUGGAGGCUCAUACUCAUAGUCACACGACAACCAGGAAAGAGAGCGCAUGCGGAGAAACAUGCUUGUGGAGAUUAUAAGGUGCUGGCUCAUGCUUCGUCUGGUCCCUUAUCUCCAGAUCUGCUUCUUCUUCGUUGCUGGCUCGCGCUUUGUCUGGUCCCUCUUCUCGUUUCACAGAGACGCAAUUCCAAGGUAAUCACUGUCGUUUGCUCUCAUUUUUGUAAAUCAAUCUCUUUGCUCAGUCGUCGAUUCAAAGGAAAGUGCAUAAACCAACUCUUCAAGUUUAGUCUAAUAGCAUUGGCGCUAUUAGCAGUUGGGUCUUUGUCUAUUUGUCCGUUCGGGUUGUUGGUUAAUUGAGCGCGUCGUCGAUUUAUUGCUGAUGGGUCUGAGGGGAAGGUUGUGUUCUGGGGUUGGGGACGGCUGAAUGGUCGGAUUGAUUGUGGAGUUCGUUAGAUCUUUAGGUGUUUGUUCUGUUGUUGAGUUGACAUGAUUGAGUUUGCUUUUUGGCGAUCCUUUUGGUUCAGGGCAGAUAAAAGAAGCCUCAGUUUCAUUUUGCUUGUAUAAACAAUGCUGUUUUUGUUAGUGAUUGUCAAUGAACUUCAUAAUAUUUACUGCA